GGCUCGGUGAGGCCUUCGGACUGGCCCAGGGAGGUCGGCAACGACCACCCAGGGCCGGAAAGUUGGUCAAACCCGGUCAUUUAGAGGAAGUAAAAGUCGUAACAAGGUCUCCGUAGGUGAACCUGCGGAGGGAUCAUU
rnacentral:rRNA from 3 species